UUUUAAUUGGAUUUUUGAUUGUGGUAAAAUAUACAUAACAGCCUUGGUAGUGUAUGCAACUUGUUGCCUGUAUAGGUUGCCCUAAGGGACAUUGGAGACGGCC
rnacentral:snoRNA from 1 species